AAUGUGACCUCGGAUCAGUAGA
rnacentral:rRNA from 1 species